rnacentral:rRNA from 1 species
UACGGAGGGAGCUAGCGUUGUUCGGAAUUACUGGGCGUAAAGCGCACGUAGGCGGCUUUGCAAGUCGGGUGUGAAAUCCCCGGGCUCAACCUGGGAACUGCAUCCGAGACUGCUUUGCUCGAGUAUGGGAGAGGGAAGUGGAAUUUCCGGUGUAGCGGUGAAAUGCGUAGAUAUCGGAAGGAACAUCAGUGGCGAAGGCGACUUCCUGGACCAAUACUGACGCUCAGGUGCGAAAGCGUGGGGAGCAAACAGG